UGGGGGGCUGGGCUCGGGGAAGAAGGGGUGGCAGGGUGCAGGCACACUUGCUGCUGUGGGGUCUGAUCUGUUUCUCACUCUGCCCCACACCCACUGGGGAGGGGUUACUGCUUUCCCUCCCUGGGCCUCAGUUUCCCCUCUGUGGGGAAAUGUUUUCUCCACAGUACCCUGUUAGCACACAGUAGGCCCUCAGGAUGCACUUGCUGGGUGGAUUUCUCCGAUGGGUGAUGGAGGAAGGGUCUGUCACUGCAGCUGCCUGUGGGAUCUCUCUGUGUUCCCAGGGGAAAGGGACAGGCGGCUCCCAGGUAGGCUCCAGGAGAAGACUGCGGGGAAGCUGGUGGGUGGUGUGUGGGUGCUCAUGGCUGCCCUGCCCUGCCCAGGCCGAGCAGGAGCUCCGCGUGGCCCAGACAGAGUUUGACCGGCAAGCAGAAGUGACCCGUCUCUUGCUGGAGGGAAUCAGUAGCACUCAUGUGAGUCCCCCUGCCCACCCUCACUAAAGCCCAACCCUCAGCAGGCACCAGGUGUGCCUGAACCACAAAGUCAGCAGGGCUGCCCCCGAAUGGCCCUCACAGAGCAAGUCCCACCGGGGAGGGUGUGGGCGCAGGGGCAGGGCACCCUGGAAUGCCGGAGCAAGGUCUGGUAGAGGACGGGAAUGGGGACGGAAUUUUUUGUUCUGAGGGCGGGAGGUUAGAAGUCAGCCUCUGGCCUCUUCCCCACAGGUGAACCACCUGCGCUUCCUGUGACACAAAGCCGGGUUGGAGGGCUCUGCCGGAACCCACUCUGGGCCCGGGCAUCUCAUGUGUAUGAGGGUGGAGUGGCUGGCCUUACUGAUGGCCGAGUCCCCUGGAGCCCCUGAGGGUUUCUAGGGAAUGCCUGGGUGGGGAGGAUGGCAGGGACCAGGAGGUGGGGCCAUCUCACCCUUCCUUCCCUUGCUUUGCUUUUCCCUUUGUGCUGCCAGCUCCCAGGGUGCCGUGUGAGUAGCCGGGGCUGGAGUGGGGCUCCUGGGGCUGGGGAGGGGAGUUUGCCUCUGGGGUCCCUUCUGGGACUCCCACCUGCUAAGAUGUAUCCCUACUCUCCAGAUUUCCAGGCACCUUCGUGGGCACCACAGAGCCCGCCUCCCCACCCCUGAGCAGCACCUCACCCACCACUGCUGCGGCCACUAUGCCUGUGGUGCCCUCUGUGGCCAGCCUGGCCCCUCCGGGGGAGGCCUCGCUCUGCCUGGAAGAGGUGGCCCCCCCUGCCAGUGGGACCCGCAAAGCUCGGGUGCUCUAUGACUACGAGGCAGCCGACAGCAGUGAGCUGGCCCUGCUGGCUGAUGAGGUGGGCCCGGUGCCACAAGGUGGGGCAGGAAUGGGCUGGGUGAGGAGCAGCCUGGGCGCUGGGAUCAGGCACAUGGGGCCUGGAGGGGCCCUGUUGGCAAAGUGGGGACCAGCAGGUUAAAGAGGGC
rnacentral:lncRNA from 1 species